UACAGAGGUCUCAAGCGUUGUUCGGAUUCAUUGGGCGUAAAGGGUGCGUAGGCGGCGCGGUAAGUCGGGCGUGAAAUCUCGGAGCUUAACUCCGAAACUGCAUUCGAUACUGCCGUGCUUGAGGACUGGAGAGGAGACUGGAAUUUACGGUGUAGCGGUGAAAUGCGUAGAUAUCGUAAGGAAGACCAGUGGCGAAGGCGGGUCUCUGGGCCGAUACUGACGCUGAGGAGCGAAAGCGUGGGGAGCAAACAGG
rnacentral:rRNA from 1 species